AUACGGAGGGUGCAAGCGUUACUCGGAAUCACUGGGCGUAAAGCGCGCGCAGGCGGCUAUUUAAGUUGGAUGUGAAAGCCUACGGCUCAACCGUAGAACUGCAUCCAAAACUAUUUAGCUAGAGUGUGGGAGAGGAAGAUGGAAUUAGUUGUGUAGGGGUAAAAUCCGUAGAGAUAACUAGGAAUACCAAAAGCGAAGGCAAUCUUCUGGAACACUACUGACGCUGAGGCGCGAAAGCGUGGGGAGCAAACAGGAUGAGAAACCCUAGUGUAGUCC
rnacentral:rRNA from 1 species